GUUUUCCCAUUGCAAAGCUACCCCUAUUCUCAAUCUUCUCCACGUGGGAAUCCUAUCCUCAUUUCCUCUUUUGCCCACUCGUGAAUUAUAACGUAUAUACAGUGUACAAGCGUUCAAAUCCCUAUCCUUCGUCUUCUCGAUUUUCACGAUUUCUGUGUGUUGUUUCUAGCUUCUGUUUGUUUUUCUAAAAUUGUAGAUUUAUAUAUGUUUCGUUAGAUGAUAAUUGAAAUUUGAUCCGAGAAGUGGAUCUGAAACUCUGAUGGAAAGGAUAGUCGGAGGUAAAUUUAAACUGGGCCGUAAGGUCGGCAGUGGAUCCUUCGGCGAAAUAUUUAUGGCUACACAUAUUGAUACUUUUGAGAUCGUUGCGGUGAAGAUCGAAAAUAAUAAAACAAAGCACCCACAACUUCUUUAUGAGGCCAAGUUAUACAAUAGUCUUCAAGGAGGAAGUGGUAUACCUGGCAUAAAAUGGUCUGGCGUGGAUGGGGAAGAUAACGUCCUUGUCCUUGAUUUGCUGGGACCAAGCCUUGAGGAUCUUUUCGUGUACUGCAGAAGGAAGUUCUCGCUGAAAACUGUCUUGAUGUUGGCUGAUCAAAUGAUAACUAGAAUAGAAUUUGUACAUGCUAAAGGGUUUCUGCAUCGGGAUAUUAAGCCUGAUAACUUUCUCAUGGGCCUUGGACGAAAAUCAAAUCAGGUUUACAUUAUUGAUUUUGGUCUUGCCAAACGAUAUCGGGAUUCAAUAACAAAUCGGCAUAUCCCCUAUAGGGAAAAUAAAAACCUGACUGGGACUGCUCGGUAUGCAAGUUGUAAUACUCAUCUCGGGAUUGAGCAAAGUCGGCGGGAUGAUUUAGAAUCCCUUGGAUAUGUACUUCUGUAUUUCUUGAGAGGAAGCCUUCCAUGGCAGGGUUUAAAAGCUGCCACAAAGAAGCAAAAAUAUGACAAAAUAUGUGAGAAAAAACUAUCCACUCCUAUUGAGAUGUUGUGCAAGUCCCAUCCAGUGGAAUUUGCAUCAUAUUUCCACUACUGUCAUUCAUUGACAUUUGACCAACGGCCUGAUUAUGGAUUCUUGAAACGCCUCUUCCGUGAACUGUUUACUCGCGAAGGAUAUGAAUUUGAUUACAUAUUUGACUGGACCAUUCUAAAAUACCAGCAAGCAAAAAUAAGUAAAAUGCAACAACGGGAAUCACCGACUGCUGGAGAGAGUAGUCAUCCAGUUCCAAUGGAUAUAGAGAAGCAAAAAGCCAAUAAUACUUGUUUAGUUGACUUGGGUGAACGAAUGAGAUCAAACAAUGCAGCUGCUAGUUCUGGCGUCCGUAUGGAAUUUAAAUCGUCAACAAAUCGAAAUUUGACUUCCGAGAAUCCUCUUAGUAGAAAUAUGAUGAGCAAUGCACACAUGCCAUCUACUUCAUUUGCUUCUGCUGUCAUGGCGAAAGGGAAUGGCUCAAAACUUAUAGUAUCUAAUGAAGCAAGUACUGCUAAUGCAAAUGGCGAUAAUACUGGUCCUUCAAGCAGUUGGAUCUCUUCUCUGCGUCGUAUAUCUUCUGCCAAGUGAUUCAUAUGGUAGACACCAAGCUGAACCAGUGCGCAUGCAGGGGAUUUGGACUUAUCAUCUGCAUGCCAUGGUUACAAGGUUGUAAGUAGUGUGUGGCGGAUCAUUUUAUGAAGACCUUUGGUUUCAAUUUUUAUCAGAUAUGGCGAUGUUCAACUACACAGACGUUACGGUUACUCUGUGGGUGGAGGCCUUGGUUAGAUGUCCCUGAGAUGAUAGCUGAACACAUGGGCUGAUUGGAUUUGCUCUUUAUGUUAUAGUGGGAAGAAAGAAACAGAGAUAUUAUUGAAGGCUGGUACUGCCACUGUCUGGUGUAGCUUCGUGAGAUAAGUCUGUCUUUCCUAUGAUCAGUAACAAAAGAAGCUGGAGUUUUUGAAUCUUUGGGUUUGCCCUUGUUAAUUUUAUGAAAUUGCAAUGCGUUUUCUAAUGAAUCGGAAACACCUGACUUUUUGGUUUAAGCUUAUAAUGGAUUUAUCACAAGGGAGGCAAUCUGUUGAAUGUAUUGUGGUCUGCCUGUACAUAUCUUUCUGCAUAUAAUACACAAGGUUUACUGGAUUGCUUUAAAAGCCACAUUUUGAGUUGUUGGUUUCUAACAUGGAUUAUAAUCUGGCAACUUGUCAAAAGAUUGCAGAAAAUGAACUGGGCUUAUUGGCCUUAGUUCUGAAGAACUAAAGCUGGUAUAUGGCCUUCAUGUUGUACAUGAAAUUCUGUAAAUACAUUCAUGAGAAAAACAGUGAUAAAGCUGUAGAAAAUGGAAGACUUCCUGGAUAAUUGCUGUGAAAAUCUGGAUGUGUGAGUGCCAACUAGGUCGUAAUGAGCUCUUUAUGCUAUUGCAGGACCAUUGAUUUGAAGGACAGUGACAAUAAAACUGCACAUACAGUUUGGGUUGAAUAAAAAAAAAACA